rnacentral:tRNA from 1 species
GCGGGCGUGGCGGAAUGGCAGACGCGCUGGACUUAGGAUCCAGUGGGGCCUGAGAUUAGGUGAAGGACAUUGAGGAGUCUGUGCCUGCC